CAUGUCUAAGUAUAAACCUUUAUACGGUGAAACUGCGAAUGGCUCAUUAAAUCAGUUAUCGUUAAUUUGAUUGUUUCUUUCUACACGGAUAACUGUACUAAUUGUAGAGCUAAUACGUGCAAAAGAAUGGGACUAGCCCUCGGGCGGGAACCAUUGUAUUUAUUAGGUUAAAAACCAAUGCAGGGCAUUCCAAACUGCGUGCGUCUUCGGGCGGGCGUGGGCCCUGGAACUGUGGUGAAUCAUGAUAACUGUGCGGAUCGCAUGGCCUUGCGCCGGCGACGUUUCAUUCAAAUUUCUGCCCUAUCAACUUUCGAUUGUAGGGUAUUGGCCUACAAUGGUUUUAACGGGUAACGGAGAAUUAGGGUUCGAUUCCGGAGAGGGAGCCUGAGAAACGGCUGCCACUUCUACGGAAGGCAGCAGGCGCGUAAAUUACCCAAUCCUGACACAGGGAGGUAGUGACAAGAAAUAACAAUGCAGGUCAUGAAUAUGUCUUGUAAUUGGAAUGAGUACAAUGUAAAGCACUUAACGAGUAACAAUUGGAGGGCAAGUCUGGUGCCAGCAGCCGCGGUAAUUCCAGCUCCAAUAGCGUAUCUUAAAGUUGUUGCAGUUAAAAAGCUCGUAGUCGGAUUUUGGGAGUGAGAGCGGACGGUCCAUCGAAACGAUGUGUACCUUCGGUCCACUUCUUUGCUUCGCACAGCAUGCCGUGGCCAUUGAUUUGGUGGCGGUGUUAAUGCGUGCGAUCAUUUACUUUGAAAAAAUUAGAGUGUUCAAAGCAGGCGAGUUACGGCCGUUGAAUAGUUCAGCAUGGGAUAAUGGAAUAGGACUUUCGUCUUAUUGCGUUGGUUUUCGAGACGAAGGUAAUGAUUAACAGGGACAGUUGGGGAUAUCAGUAUUUAAUUGUCAGAGGUGAAAUUCUUGGAUUUAUGAAAGACUAACUACUGCGAAAGCAUUUAUCAAGGAUGUUUUCAUUGAUCAAGAACGAAAGUUAGGGGAUCGAAGAUGAUCAGAUACCGUCGUAGUCCUAACCGUAAACUAUGCCGGCCAGGGAUUCGGAGACGUUACAAUUGGAAUGAUUCCCCGAGCACCUUACGAGAAAUCAUAAGCUUUUGGGUUCUGGGGGGAGUAUGGUCGCAAGGCUGAAACUUAAAGGAAUUGACGGAAGGGCACCACCAGGAGUGGAGCUUGCGGCUUAAUUUGACCCAACACGGGAAAACUCACCAGGUCCAGACACAAGAAGGAUUGACAGAUUGAGAGAUCUUUCUUGAUUUUGUGGGUGGUGGUGCAUGGCCGUUCUUAGUUGGUGGAGUGAUUUGUCUGGUUAAUUCCGUUAACGAACGAGACCUUAACCUGCUAAAUAGUUACGCGAACCGUCUGCUGUGGGUUGAAGCCGCUAGUGCGUAG
rnacentral:rRNA from 1 species